rnacentral:rRNA from 1 species
UACGGAGGGAGCUAGCGUUGUUCGGAAUUACUGGGCGUAAAAGCGCACGUAGGCGGCUCAGCAAGUCAGGGGUGAAAUCCCGGGGCUCAACCCCGGAACUGCCCUUGAAACUGCUAAGCUAGAAUCCUGGAGAGGCGAGUGGAAUUCCGAGUGUAGAGGUGAAAUUCGUAGAUAUUCGGAAGAACACCAGUGGCGAAGGCGACUCGCUGGACAGGUAUUGACGCUGAGGUGCGAAAGCGUGGGGAGCAA